rnacentral:rRNA from 1 species
AGCUAUAUACCAUUUCGGUAUAUAUUAGUGGUGAACGAGAUAGUAACACGUGGGCUAUCUGCCCUGCUCUCUGGGACAAGCCCUGGAAACGGGCUCUAAUACCGGAUACUGACCCGCUUGGGCAUCCAAGCGGUUCGAAAGCUCCGGCGGCGAAGGAAGCGCCCGCCGCCUAUCAGAGAGUUGGUGAGGUUAUGGCUCACCAAGGCGACUGCGGGGAGCCGGGCUGAGAGGGCGACCCCCCACACUGGGAGUGAGACACGGCCCAGACUCCUACGGGAGGCAGCAGGGGGUAAUAUUGCACAAUGGGCGAAAGUCUGAUGCAGCCACGCCGCGUGAGGGAUGACGCCCUUCGGGUUGUACACCUCUUUCAGGAGGGAAGAAGCGAUAGUGACGGUCCCUGCAGAAGAAGCGCCGGAUAACUAUGUGCCAGCCGCCGAGGUAAUACGUAGGGCGCAAGCUUUCUGCAGAAUUAUUGGGCUUAAAGAGCUCGUACGCGUUUUGUCACGUCAGGUGAAAAACCCCGGCGCUUAACCGCGGGUCUGCAGUUUAUAGGGAGUUUAAGCCUUGCGGUAGGAGACAUCAGAAUUGCGUGGUGUAGGGGUAAAAUGCGCAAAUAUCAAGAAGAACUGUUGUCCAGAACGGAGUAUCUCUGGGUUGAUACUGACACUGAGGAGCAAUCGCAUGGAGUGCGCACAGUAUGAUAUCCCGUGGUAGUCCACG